rnacentral:rRNA from 1 species
GGGUGAAGUAACCGCGUGGGAAUCUACCCGUGCCCUGCGGAAUAGCUCCGGGAAACUGGAAUUAAUACCGCAUACGCCCUACGGGGGAAAGAUUUAUCGGGGUAUGAUGAGCCCGCGUUGGAUUAGCUAGUUGGUGGGGUAAAGGCCUACCAAGGCGACGAUCCAUAGCUGGUCUGAGAGGAUGAUCAGCCACAUUGGGACUGAGACACGGCCCAAACUCCUACGGGAGGCAGCAGUGGGGAAUAUUGGACAAUGGGCGCAAGCCUGAUCCAGCCAUGCCGCGUGAGUGAUGAAGGCCUUAGGGUUGUAAAGCUCUUUCACCGGAGAAGAUAAUGACGGUAUCCGGAGAAGAAGCCCCGGCUAACUUCGUGCC